GAUUAACGCUGGCGGCGGGCCUAACACAUGCAAGUCGAGCGGUAACACAGGGAGCUUGCUCCUGGGUGACGAGCGGCGGACGGGUGAGUAAUGUCUGGGAAACUGCCUGAUGGAGGGGGAUAACUACUGGAAACGGUAGCUAAUACCGCAUAACGUCGCAAGACCAAAGAGGGGGACCUUCGGGCCUCUUGCCAUCAGAUGUGCCCAGAUGGGAUUAGCUAGGAGGUGGGGUAACGGCUCACCUAGGCGACGAUCCCUAGCUGGUCUGAGCGGAUGACCAGCCACAGUGGAACUGAGACACGGUCCAGACUCCUACGGGAGGCAGCAGUGGGGAAUAUUGCACAAUGGGCGCAAGCCUGAUGCAGCCAUGCCGCGUGUAUGAAGAAGGCCUUCGGGUUGUAAAGUACUUUCAGCGGGGAGGAAGGCGAUAAGGUUAAUAACCUUGUCGAUUGACGUUACCCGCAGAAGAAGCACCGGCUAACUCCGUGCCAGCAGCCGCCGUAA
rnacentral:rRNA from 1 species